CAGGAAACUGCCGCCAUCUUGCUGGCCUGCUCUCUGAGCCCCGCCCCCACAGUCUUUGUAUAAUUAAACCCCCAGAGGCACUAGGAUUUGUCCUUCUCUCCAGACCUAAGUGACAGGACACCCGAUACAGCGGCCCUAUCAGUUGCCUCACUGAGAGAUACCUCAAAUCCUAGAGUUUCUGAGAAGGACCGAGUCUGGGGGAGAUUCGCUUUGUUCUUUCUAGGUUGAUAGCUGAGCUGUUGUGGGAGUUAAGUAAGCAGCUAGCUGCCUUGUGCAAGGUGUACUGAAGAAGUGGAGAUAAAACAGGUAAUGUCUGUCAGGGGUCUCUACUUGCUUCCCCUGCUAUAGAACUGACAACAGAGGGGUCAGGCUGCUGGGGGACACCAAGGCCUAUCAGCUAUAUCACAUAAAAGUAGCUACAGUAAUUUCAACAAAUACAAAGUGAAAAUGGUGAUUAAUAGAUUAGAUAGAUAGAUAGAUAGAUAGAUAGAUAGAUACAUAGAUAGAUACAUAGAUAGAUACAUAGAUAGAUACAUAGAUACAUAGAUAGAUACAUAGAUACAUAGAUACACAGAUACAUAGAUACAUACAUGGAUACAUACAUAGAUAACAUAGAUAAAUGCUUACGUAGAUAGAUACAUGGAUAGAUAGAUACAUGGAUAGAUAGAUGGUAGACAGACAGACAGGCAGAUGAUAUAAAUCACAUUUAUGUACCCUAAACUAGGCUUAAACUCAUUAUCCUCCUGCCUCAGCCGCCUGAAUGUUGAGGGCCUUCGGAAAUGAGCUCUGCCAGCCACUGCUGUCGAAUCCUUGGCACAUGGCAGAUGCUCGGUCAGUUCACUUUCCUCCUUCCUCCUCAGACGUUUCCAGAGCUUAAUAACUGCAUGUUAAUGGGGAACUUGAGAGGAAGACGUGCAGGUGGGAGGGGGAAAGCAAGCUUGCUGCCUCCUUUGGGUGAGGAGAAGACGACGGAGAGGUGAGACUUGCAGCUCAGAGAUCAGUUUAUCUGACGUUCUCCCGGGUAGCCACUCGAUUCCCGUGAUAAACUGACCUCCGCUCAGAUUCACUCUUGUGAACUAUGCUGUCCUGGAUCACUCUCCCCAUCUCCUUACCCUGGUCUGUUUUGUUUUUCCUUCCCUACACUUAUCUCCAUAGACAUUUGUCUGCUCGGCUGUUGCCCACUAAUGGGCACAGUAUCAGAGACUCUAUUUUGUUCCCUGAUGGCAUCAUGUCUCCAGUCUGAAAAUUACUGCUGAAUUUGACCUUGGCCUUAUCAUGCAGCUCUCUGGACUCUCUUGGGUCAUUUUGAUAAUUAAAUGCAUCAAUAAGAAGGCAACACUGGGCACCAUGCCUUGCAUACCCAAAGUUCUCAAUCAAUCCUAGCCACCGUUUGAUGAAUUAUUUUCUAGUUAUCUUGCUGGGAUCUGCUGUGUGCACAGAGCCUCUGGAGCUGCUCUGGAGCUGGGGAUUUCUUUCGUCCUGAGUGGAGUUAGAAAUAGAAAACUGUACUAAUUGGGGACUAUGAAAUCAGCUACUUACCGUUCCAAAGCCAGUGAACUUGAAAUGUCUAAGACCUGCUUCUCAAAUAUGACUGCACAUUGGAGUCCACAGGGAACUCUUAUCAAUUACUGAUGCCUAGAUCUCACCCCAGAGAGUCUGAUGUCAUUGAUGGGGCAGGUGGCCCAAACAUCAGGAUAUAUAUAUUUUUUUAAUUCCCAGGUG
rnacentral:lncRNA from 1 species